GGGUCGGUGCCCGAGUGGUUAAUGGGGGCGGACUGUAAAUCCGUUGGCUCUGCCUACGUUGGUUCAAAUCCAACCCGGCCCA
rnacentral:tRNA from 5 species